CGCAGCCGCGGUAAUCCCAGCUCCAAUAGCGUAUAUUAAAGUUGUUGCAGUUAAAAAGCUCGUAGUUGAAUUUCGGGAUCAAUUAGUCGGUCGUGCCUCUGGUACGUACUGGUUUUAUUGGUUCCUCCCUUCUGACGAAACAUGAUGUCAUUAAUUUGGUGUCGUGGAGAAUCAGGACUGUUACCUUGAAAAAAUUAGAGUGUUUAUAGCAGGCUAACGCUUGAAUACAUUAGCAUGGAAUAAUGAAAUAGGACGUUCGACCCUAUUUUGUUGGUUUCUAGGAUCGACGUAAUGAUUAAUAGGGAUGGUUGGGGGCAUUAGUAUUCAAUUGUCAGAGGUGAAAUUCUUGGAUUUAUUGAAGACUAACUACUGCGAAAGCAUUUGCCAAGGAUGUUUUCAUUAAUCAAGAACGAAAGUUAGGGGAUCGAAGACGAUCAGAUACCGUCGUAGUCUUAACCAUAAACUAUGCCGACUAGGGAUCGGAUGAUGUAAUUUUUAAUGACUCAUUCGCGCCUUACGG
rnacentral:rRNA from 1 species